UCAACCAAUCAAAUAAUUUUUUUAAAAUUUAUUUUUUUCAUCAUAAUUAUAAAAAAAAUAUUUUUAUUAUAUAUAUUUUUUUUCAAAUGAAGAGAUGUGAUAUGUUUGUUAUUGAUGAUGUGAUGCAAGUGUGACAUAGGCUUCGCGGGGAGAUUGUGUUAUAUGCGGUGAGAAACUGCAAUAAAAAAAAUCGUCGGUUUGUUUCCGUAAGUAAUAUUGCAUUCCGCAUAUCACGAUGAGUCGGUUACGAUAUAUUUUCUGCGGUCCACCGGAGAAUGCAGAACUAUAUCCUUAUAUGCUUUUUCCUCAACUCCAUUUUAUCUAAUAAUGUUAGAUAGACCUCAAUACCAAACUAAGCCAUAGUAGACUUCCUUACAGAGAAAAGGAACUACACAGCCAACAACAGAAAGUAUUACUAGUAAUGCAGCACAUGCAGUUAAAAGAGGAAGUCUACUAUACAUGUCACAUUUAUGUCAUAUCAUCAAUAAUCAGUUAAUCAUAUCUUUUUUAUAAAAAAAAGUUCAAUAAAAAUAUUAUUUUAAUAAUCAUGAUGGGAUGGGUAAACUCAUGGAAAAAUAUCUAAUUGGUUGGGAACGCCAUCUCAGCAUUGUAACUAGUACAUUUUAGAGUUUUGUAGUUAAGUGAUGCAAAGCAAUGCAAUUGACGUGAGAUUAUCUUACUCACCGUUUACAUGAUUUUGAGAUUCUAAUAAAAGGAAACUUUAUAAUUCAUUCUAGAAUUAUUUU
rnacentral:lncRNA from 1 species